AUUUUCGUUCACUUGAAGCGGGGAAAGUUUGCGCGGCAGUGUGUUUAAUUUAUUCUGUUUUAACGGUUUUAGAAAUGGAUAUUCAGAAACAGAGAAACGGAUUUCAGACGUCCCCAAAUUUGAAGCUGUCAAAUGGUUAUAUUUUACCUGAAGGUAGAAUGACACCAAACACGCUUUUUGUCGGAGGAAUCGAUAUGAAGGUGGAUGAGAAUGAAAUCCGGGACUUCUUUGCGAGAUUUGGCGCUGUGAAGGAAGUGAAAAUCAUCACUUACCGUGGAGGCAUCUGCAAAGGAUAUGGAUUUGUCUACUUCAAUGAAGACGUCGACAUCCAAACCAUCGUUGAACAACAGAUCAGUUUUAAAGGGCGGAAACUCAAGCUGGGUCCAGCCAUCAUGAAGGAAAGGAUCUCACGUUCCAUGCCGUCUCAACUGGUUGGUCAGGUCCCCUGGAUGAGCCCCUCCCAGUACAUCUACUGCACCUGCUGCUCUCCUGUGGGCGUGGCUCAGCCCUCACCUGUACUCAACGGGGGCAAUCCCUACAUCCAGCCUUACUCGUACAACGGCCUUCAAGGAGUCAUAAUGCCACAGAUGCCCGUGAGCUACUCACAAACCGCCUAUGCGUACCAGUACGCCUCACCACACUGGACCGGGGAGCAGAGGACACGGCUCGUCAACCAGCCGGCUCAUUAUGUGAUGUGAUGUGGUGCCCCGUUUCCAGAACUUUGUGGACUGUGAAGUCCAGACUCUCCUGACUCUGCUCUAGUCCACAGCCCACUGACCCUCCUGUACCAGGGGGUGACGUGCGCCAGUCUGCGCGGAGACAACAUGACAACAUGACAUCCUGGCCUUUUGGAGCGCUGGAAGCAACACAAACUUAAAUAUACAUUUCCAGGAUGCUUUCUCUCCCUCUCUCCGACAUCCCUCCCUCCCUCGCUCGCUUUGAGACCCAUUUUAACACACCGACCGUGGCAGCUCAACACUUGCACCUGAUGGGCGUGGUCACUGUGACUGUGCUCCGUGAUUGACUUGGCUAGGACCACGGUCCUGGGGUUUGGACCGCUUUUAAACCACCUCAACCACUGUCACGUAGGGAAGGGGAAGUAAUGUUGGUGCUUCAGCAUGUUCAUAACACAGGGCAACGUGUGGUGUCACCCUUUUUCUUUUUUCUUUUGGGUUGUCGUUUGUGAUUUAGUUGGGUUUUUGAUUGACCCAAACCCCCCAAAAAAAUGACUUACGGUCACCUGUGAAUAUUUAUAUUUUAUUUUGUACUAUUUAUGUUGAAAUUAUUUUAAUGUCGGUUUGUUUGGGUUUAAGCUUUUAGCGGGGCCUCUCUGUACAUAUAUUUGUAAUACAGUAAAUUCAUCUUUAGAAUAGUGUGAGAUCGAUUAAAUUUCCCUUUUAUUAAUUCAAGUUCCAUCCCCAUACUCCUUCGAUAUAAGAAACUAGUGAGGGCAGCAUUGGGCACAAAACUAACACAUUUUUCAGGCACUUUUUUAUUUUCUUGUCAGUUUACUUUCUUAAUAAGCUACUUUAGUCACCUUUUUAUUUAUAUUUACAUCACUGAAUUACAAGUGCCUGCCUGCUUUUCUGUUAUGAGGGGUUUAUUGAAAAUAUUUUUGUGUAUUUAGAAUUGGGAUGCACUGGUAUCAUCUUGAGUAUUGCUGUUUGCAAAGUUAGGGAACCUUUUAUUGUGGCACUGGCCAAUGUUUCUUAGGAUUUGUCCCAAAUGGCACCCUAUUCCCUAUUUAGUGCACUAUUGACUAGGGCCCUGAUCAAAAGUAGUGCACUAUAUAGGGGAUAGGGUGCCGUUUGGGAUGUUGACUUAGACUGUUCCAGCUCUUCCUCUUCCAAUAGGAAAAUCACUGUCAAUUUCCCCUGAAGGUGUUGAUAAACUACUUUUAUAAUGCAGCCUGGGUCGGGAAACAUGUUUUAAUUCACUCAAAUGAAGGACAUAACUAAAAGCAAUGCGUUCCAUCACUACUGUUUUUAAGUUCACUUAAGUUCACUUUAUUGAGAAAAAAAUGUUUGCACUGAUUGAUCUGUUCACUGUUUUUCUAAGAGUUUAUUUUUCAUUUUUUUUAAGAGGUGGUGUGAUUUUGAUUUAAUUUAUUUCUGAAAAUCCUGAUGCACUAACACCAUCUUCAGUGUGAUUUGUAAUCACUUUUCAGUCCGACGGGUUAACUGGGUGCAUUUAAAUGGGAUGACAUUUUGAUACAUCAGAUCUUUUGGGUCAUGGGUGGGAUUUCCUAUCAGUAACCAUCCAGCGUUUUGCCCAGGUGUUUAUGGACUAAGGUUUUGCCUGCCCUGGACAACCUCUUCUAGUUGUACUUUGUCAUGGAUCUCUUGGUUUAGUUUUCUCUGUCAAUUCUCCUGCUGUGACCCAUGCUGUUUGGUAUCCAAGGUUGUUUAAAAUGGCGCCCUACUGCUAGUAGUACACUACUUUUCUGGGGGAAAGUAGUGCACUAUAUAGGGAAUAACAUUUGGGAUGCAUCCUAGGCAUUGAUCUUAUAGGAAUCUGAUCAUAUUGAUGGGAAUGUGAUGGUUACAGAGAGCUUUUCUAGAUCACUGUUCUGGUUUAAGUUGGGUUCUUGUUGAGGUGUUAAUGUUAACAAUUUCAAGGUUUGGAUUUAUUUUGUUAAAAUAUAUAUAUACAAAUAAAUGUGAAUUAAGUAAUCACACUCUCUCUUA